rnacentral:tRNA from 1 species
GCCAGUGUGGUAUAGUGGUUUAAGUGUUGGACUAUGACUCUGGAGACCAUGGUUCAAUUCCUUGCUUGGCCA